GACGAACGCUGGCGGCGUGCUUAACACAUGCCAGUCGAACGGAAAGGCCCUGCUUUUGUGGGGUGCUCGAGUGGCGAACGGGUGAGUAACACGUGAGUAACCUGCCCUUGACUUUGGGAUAACUUCAGGAAACUGGGGCUAAUACCGGAUAGGAGCUCCUGCUGCAUGGUGGGGGUUGGAAAGUUUCGGCGGUUGGGGAUGGACUCGCGGCUUAUCAGCUUGUUGGUGGGGUAGUGGCUUACCAAGGCUUUGACGGGUAGCCGGCCUGAGAGGGUGACCGGCGACAUUGGGACUGAGAUACGGCCCAGACUCCUACGGGAGGCAGCAGUGGGGAAUAUGGCACAAUGGGCGGAAGCGUGAUGCAGCAACGCCGGGUGCGGGAUGACGGCCUUCGGGGUGUAAACCGAUGUCGCAUGUGACGAAGCGUGAGUGACGGUAAUGGGUAAAGAAGCACCGGCUAACUACGUG
rnacentral:rRNA from 1 species